UCUAUUCAUUUAUUUUUAGUUUCUAUCAAUUGAUUAAUCCACUAAACAAAACUAAUACUCAUUCAAUUCAUACUAAACCCAAUUAACAUCACUUAAUGAUUAAAUCAAACACAAUUAACAGUAAAAUAUCAAAGGAGUUUAGGGUUACGAUGUGUGACUGUCAGCCUUCUCUCUCGUUCUUCUUCCUCUCACACUCAGACGACGGCGACGGCCGUAAUGCACUCUUCUCCGGUCAAGUCACCAUGAACCGAACCGGCCAAACCUCUUCAUCGUCUCAAUUUCGUUCCUAAUUUGUUUCGAGUUCUCUGACCUCUCUCCUCUCCAAUCGUCUAUGAUUCUCUCAGAUUCGCUCUCUUUGCUCCACUCAAAUCUCACUCUUUGAUCGGAGAAGCUCCGAUGACGAUUCGAAGAUGUAAGCAACGAAAGCAUAAGGUUGAGGCUGAGAGAAUUUUUGCAGAGUAGAGAAUUUGGAUGAAGCCGGAGUGAGGUCCCGAAUCUGUGAAGGAUGACAAAGAUGAAUCAAGGUCCCGCGAGAGAUUGAUUUCCGAUUGAAUUCCAGAGAGAAAAUUUUUUUGUCAAUCGAGUUUGUUACGUUUUCUGUUACAUGAUUCUUUUUGUUUUUCUCUUCCCUUUUCUGAUUCUUUUUCUAUUGGUGAAUAUGAAUGAUGAUGAAGAGGUUCUGAGAUCCAGGGGAAUUUUCGGUUGUGAGUUCUCCAAGAAAUUGAGAGAGUGAAGGUCGGUUAUGGAGGAUGAAGAUUCAAAGGUUCUUGGAGAAUUGAAGAUGAAGAGGAUGAAGGUUCUUGGAGAGAGUUUUUGAUCGUGAAGAAGUUCUCAGAAAGUGAAGAAGUUUGUUAUAAGGUGAGUCCAAGUUUGUUAUGAUUCUUUUCUUCGUUAUGCAGGUGCUGGCUCGGUUUAUUUGUGAAGUAUGCAGGAUUUUGUUGGUUCAACUUUGUGUAGGCUGGAAAUUGUUUAUGUUGCUGCACGGCUUGUUCACACCACUUUGUAUGGAUACUGAAUAAUUGGUACAGGUUUGGCAUGGAAAACGCUUGAAGCAAGGAGAACAUAGGAUAAGGCUUGGGAUUAGAACAAUAGGCCAAGAGUAUUUUUUGUGUAAUUUUGUAAUGGGCUUGAAUGGGUUUUUGAAUGUAACUUGAACAUUUGAAUCUUUUGUAAUGGAUAAUAAAAAGGAAAUUUGGAUA